rnacentral:misc_RNA from 1 species
GAUGAAGAACGUAGCGAAAUGCGAUAAGUAAUGUGAAUUGCAGAAUUCAGUGAAUCAUCGAGUCUUUGAACGCACAUUGCGCCCCCUGGUAUUCCGGGGGGCAUGCCUGUCCGAGCGUCAUUGCUGCCCUCAAGCACGGCUUGUGUGUUGGGCCUCCGUCCUCCUCCCGGGGGACGGGCCCGAAAGGCAGCGGCGGCACCGCGUCCGGUCCUCGAGCGUAUGGGGCUUCGUCACCCGCUCUUGUAGGCCCGGCCGGCGCUUGCCGACACAUCAAUCUUUUUUCCAGGUUGACCUCGGAUCAGGUAGGGAUACCCGCUGAACUUAAGCAUAUCAAAAGCGGAGGA